GAUUUGCAUGCGUACCGUUUUGCCUCGCGAUACUUCUCUACUCGUGCAUGCGUGCAGCAUAGUGUACUACGUAUCAUCAAGCGCGUCAAGCCGAUGUACGAGGAGACCUUCACGUACACGCCGGGAACGUUUUGCCGGCCGCAACCGAAGCCCCAGGAUACUAGUCCAGCCAAUUCGUAGAAGCCAUCAUCUUGGCACACCAAGGGACCUCCACCGUCGCCCUAAACACAAGACGUCUCAGUACGGUAUCUCGUUAGACAAAACAUUAUUGUGAAAGGUAUUAAGUACAGCAACACAUUUGAUACUAGUGAUUUAUAUGUGAGUCAUAAUUUCUCUUUACAUGUCUAUGUAAACAAACGAAAGCCCGUAUUAAUCCACACAGCAUACUUUAUCCGAGAGACGUCCUGGGAACGUCUUUAAGACGUAGGACAUUCCUUGGAGGUCUUUGCUGUAUGGGAAUAGUCGUUACUUGAAACUUGUCUCAAGUGAGAUACUAAGGUUCGUAUUAAUAGUCAUUACUCGAUGCUCGUGAAAUACUCUGGUUAAAAUUUAAAGUUACAUCCAAGUUUUUUCAGCUCAAUCAUAUCAUAUACGUGACGUUAUGCCUGCAAUUGCAAUUCAACUGGAAAUCUCGCAUCUAAUUCUAGAUUUAAAUGCGAAUAUCUCACCUGAGACAAAUUUCAAAGGCAAUAUGGACAAGUGAGCAUACCUGACACGCGUCGUUCCCUUGUUCCCCGCCGGCGCAGAAACUGCUGGCUGGCAGAAUGAAG